UUCGCUAGACUUCCAGUGAGGGACCCACUGUUUCACCCCACCCAUCCUAGCAUGCAGCAACAGCAGACUGUAUGAACGCACAACUACGUGAAAGAAUCUUUCCACACUGCAGAAGAGUUGGCGUUGAGCAGGGCAGCCUCAGAAAGCAUCGUAAAUUUAGAAAGGGGAGAUUCCCAAGCCUGGAGAAACUCCAAGUUAUGGGAGCUGUUGCUUUAAGACCCGGAGGGGACCCUAGAGAGCGCAAAACAGCAUCUGCCUCAAGGGAACAGGGAGUCCAAACCCAACCUUGCGUAUGCGAUGCACAGGUUACUCAUGGAUGAGCGCUGUUAAGAUCCAGCAGUUCUACAGCCUAGGAGCAAGACUUUGUUCAGCACAUCAACCUGCUUUGACUAGAUCCCAGGGGAAAAGCAGCCGAAGAACUGUUUAGAUUGAAAGCUGCCAUCUCCACAAGUUGGACACAAAUUCACAAUUGGGUCAUCAAAUGUUCAAACUACAUGGCUGCUGCUAUUGUCUGCCAUAGGAAUCUCCAUUUUCCUUGCACUUGACAGUAGCAAAAAUGAAAUAUGAAGUUGUAAGAAGAUAUGAAAAUAUGAAAUGGAGAAAUACUUGACUCUAGCUUUGAUGGAAAUCUAUGUGUAUUGAAUUUAUUUUGGCUGGUGUAUAGAAACUUUUUAAUCUAUGUUACUUUUUUUGCCAAAGUAAUUUUUCAGCUGCUGUAUUUAUGUACUUGUUCUACAUCAAAGUUGUUUUUGAAUUCCCAGAGAUCCUGAAUCUGCUUCUCCCUUUCUGCCUGCACUUUGAAUAUGUAGAUUUCUUCCCAAAACUUAGAAGUUCAAACUGUGGCCACUGGCUAUGCAGCUGAGCGAUUUCAAAAAAAGUAAUUAUCCAGAGUGCUGUAUGGCUACCAUUUUUUAUAUUCCUUCUUGUUUUCUUUUCUUUAUUCAGGUACGUAAGCAGAGUGUAUUAUGGAUAGUUACCAUAUUUUUCUGUCUAUAAGAUGCCCCCAUGUAUAAGACGCCCCCUAUUUUGUGGGACUCCGAUAUAAGAAAAUGGGGAGAGAGCUAUCCCAGAUUUUGGACAUUACUUUUUAGGGGAAAAGCCUAGUCUUAUAUAUAGAAAAAUACGGUAGAUAGCUGCAGAUAAUUCUAUCUAAACUAUACAAGGUCAGAUCAACUUUAGAUGAUCUUUCCCCAUGUUAAUAGAUAAUUUUUAUAAUAAAGGUUGUGCUUUUGUA